rnacentral:rRNA from 1 species
AGAGUUUGAUUCUGGCUCAGGAUGAACGCUAGCUACAGGCUUAACACAUGCAAGUCGAGGGGCAGCAUGAUCUUAGCUUGCUAAGAUUGAUGGCGACCGGCGCACGGGUGAGUAACGCGUAUCCAACCUUCCCUAUAGUAGGGGAUAGCCCGUAGAAAUGCGGAUUAAUACCCUAUGUUGUAUUUCGAUGACAUCUGACGAAUACCAAAGGUUCACCGCUAUAGGAUGGGGAUGCGUCUGAUUAGGUAGUCGGCGGGGUAACGGCCCACCGAGCCAACGAUCAGUAGGGGUUCUGAGAGGAAGGUCCCCCACAUUGGAACUGAGACACGGUCCAAACUCCUACGGGAGGCAGCAGUGAGGAAUAUUGGUCAAUGGGCGAGAGCCUGAACCAGCCAAAGUAGCGUGCAGGAUGACGGCCCUAUGGGUUGUAAACUGCUUUUAUGCGGGGAUAAAGUGGGGGACGUGUCCCCCUUUGUAGGUACCGCAUGAAUAAGGACCGGCUAAUUCCGUGCCAGCCGCCGC